rnacentral:rRNA from 1 species
GACGGAGGAUGCAAGUGUUAUCCGGAAUCACUGGGCGUAAAGCGUCUGUAGGUGGUCAAAUAAGUCAACUGUUAAAUCUUGAGGCUCAACCUCAAAAUCGCAGUCGAAACUAUUAGACUAGAGUAUAGUAGAGGUAAAGGGAAUUUCCAGUGGAGCGGUGAAAUGCGUAGAGAUUGGAAAGAACACCGAUGGCGAAGGCACUUUACUGGGCUAUUACUAACACUCAGAGACGAAAGCUAGGGUAGCAAAUGGG